rnacentral:rRNA from 1 species
UACAUAGGGGGCGAGCGUUGUCCGGAUUUAUUGGGCGUAAAGCGCACGUAGGUGGCAAGCUAAGUUGGAUUUGAAAGAUCAGGGCUCAACCCUGAUUUGGGUUCAAAACUGGCUUGCUAGAGAGUAGGAGAGGGAAGUGGAAUUCACGGUGUAGCGGUGAAAUGCGUAGAUAUCGUGAGGAACACCAGUGGCGAAGGCGGCUUCCUGGACUACUUCUGACACUAAGGUGCGAAAGCGUGGGGAGC